AACGCACAUUGCGCUCUCUGGUAUUCCGGAGAGCAUGCCCGUUUCAGAAUCAGCGAAUCAUCUCCCAGAACAGGUUCUCCCCAAUCGUUUGGUGGGCUCCUGGAGUCGGGAGGAGAUGGAACCGCCUGCAACUCCUCCGAGGUGCAUGUGCUCCGAAAAGCAAUUGGUGAACGGUGGUCGUUUCCGAGAGGAUGGCAACCCCCUCCAGAGAAGAGCAACAAACCGGCCUCGGCCAGUAUCAUUCCCUUCUUUUGGAAGUCAUUUUCUCGGCCAAAGAGACGUCAUUCCGCCUCCUGGACGGUCUUCGUGCCGUCUUCGAGAGAAUCCAGAAUACUUGGUCUGAAAUCGGGCAAGAAAACCCGCUGAACUUAA
rnacentral:misc_RNA from 1 species